GGUAGAUGGCUCAGUGGUAGAGUGCUUGCCUUACAUGCAUGAGGCCCUGAGUUCGAUUCCUCAGCACCA
rnacentral:tRNA from 1 species